CGGAUUAGUACUAGAAGUCCUAACUCGAAACGAGGUCCCAAGGUAUGAUUCAUGAUUGGGGUG
rnacentral:rRNA from 1 species